AACGUAGGCGACGAGCGUUAUCCGGAUUUACUGGGCGUAAAGCGCGUGCAGGCGGCUCUUUAAGUCACUUGUGAAAGCGCCCGGCUCAACUGGGCGAGGCCGUGUGAGACUGAAGAGCUUGAGAGAGGUAGAGGCGAAUGGAAUUCCGGGUGGAGUGGUGAAAUGCGUAGAGAUCCGGAGGAACACCAGUGGCGAAGGCGACACGCUGGGCCUGGCCUGACGCUCAGACGCGAAAGCAUGGGGAGCGAAC
rnacentral:rRNA from 1 species